rnacentral:rRNA from 1 species
CACGUAGGCACCAAGCGUUGUCCGGAUUUAUUGGGCGUAAAGAGCUCGUAGGCGGUUCAGUAAGUCGGGUGUGAAAACUUUGGGCUUAACCCAAAGCGUGCAUCCGAUACUGCUGUGACUUGAGUUCGGUAGGGGAGUGGGGAAUUCCUAGUGUAGCGGUGAAAUGCGCAGAUAUUAGGAGGAACACCGGUGGCGAAGGCGCCAAGCUCUGGGCCGAAACUGGAACGCUGAGGAGCGGAAAAGCAUGGGUAGCAAACAGGGAUUAAGAAACC